AACCAUCUCGUUCAGUAAAUACACACAGAGAGAAACCGGGCACGAACAGGGAAAACCAGCGAGCGUCCCUCCUUGCUGACACUGGUGGCUGUAGGAGAGAGUCCCCCCGACAAACACUUCUGGGGUGAAGAAGAGGAACGUGAAGUACACAAAUAGUUUCAUAUUAAUGCUAAAAGAAGCAGCAAAAGCUGUCGGACUGCGCACAGACUCUCAGGUUUUCAAAGCUGAAGGUGCAGGGGGAACUGAGAGGCAGCGUCCAAACGCAACCAGCAGGCACCGGGCACCUCGGGGCGACGUUUCGUAAGCUCCAGCAGCCCCAGCUCAGGUCGGACAAGCUCAAGCCAGAGCCGAGUUUCAGCUCGUUGUUACGAAGUGGAAUUAAGCCCCAGAGCAACUUAUCAAAAACCCUGCCCGGAUUUGGCACGGGGGAGUUAAAACCGAGGGGAGCGCCGCUCGCCAGGCCACGCUGCUGCCACUGGAGGGGUGGCAGGGACCCGGUGACGUGGAGCUGGAGGGAAACGUUGCUGGAGGAGUUAUUUAUGCUUCGCCAUGAAACCGGAGAGAUACACAGCCCUGGAGUCCCCGGGGAGCCGUCCCAGGCCUGACGGUGGACACCAUCAUCAGGGGGUGCUGCAUACCUCAAAGCACAAGGGGACAAAAGGGACAGAGAAUGUACAUGUGCUGUUGUCAUACUGGUGCCCCAAAGCACACGUGCAGCUUUUGCAAAAGGAAAAUGUCCCUAACAGGGAAGAAGCAGCAGGGUGUUUCUAACUUGUCAAGAAUAAGAAAAGAAUAAACGAGCUGCCUGAUUGCAAGGUGGCCCCUCAGACUUUCCCUACCUCGAGUUCCCAUUUUUACAUCUUUUAUUGCCAUAGCUCACAUCACCCCGGCGUUCCUGCACUCUCCCGUGUGGAAUUUCUCAUGCUGCCUCCCCAAAGCCGUGCUCCCACGUCUGGGAAAUGCCAGGUCAGUCGGAUCAUGCUGAGGACUAAAUUAAACAAGGAAACACCUCCGCUUGUCCUCACCCAUCAGGAAAUCCAUUUUUUAAACCUCAGAUCAAGGCAAUUCAUCUUCCCAUUAGGACAGAGCUGGCAUAUCCAAUGAAAUCCAGUUUCCCUGGAACAGAAGGUCUGCAAGACUAAUGGAUUAGCGUGCUGAGCCAUUACAUCUGCUGACUUCAACCGACACCACAUCUCCCAUGUGCUACGGAAACGAUGUGGGAAUGUAAAUUUGGGAAAGAAUAUUUAGCAAGGCAGUUAAAUUCAGCACCUUCAGAGAUUUCCGCCCAGCUCCGUUAAGUGUAACUGUUCACAAAGGGUAAGAAACUUCCAUGUACCUUGAGGAAACGGCGAGACCUCAAAUCACUUGGAAAUUUCAAAAUAUUUGUUCCUCCGACGACUAUUACGUAAACCUAGUGCAGAGUCUUUCAGAGGAAUUGUUCUCUAUCUAGGUCAGGAGAAGGAAAGCCAACUUGUAGUCUUGCAAGGGACAAGCAGCUACAGAAAUUGAAGCGCAUCUCUCAUUUUCCUGUCCGUUUCCCUCGAGGAGCAAUGGGUUUUUCCAGAUUUAGAGAAAAGAGCCUUUGCAGAUAUGUACAAAAGUUUAUUUUACAAACAGCAACUACUUUGGAAUAACAAAAUUGCAAAAACAGACCGACAUUAGAAAACCAGCUCCGUGGUGCGUUUUCUAUUUGAAGCACAAUUUAACAGAACUCACCAAGUAAAAAUAUUCCCCCCCUUCCCUCGCAUCCCUCCCCAGCCAUCGACCAGAUGGAACUUCUUUAUAAAGCUUUAAUUCAAGAUAUGAAAUAGACAUUGGUAACAUUGCAGCGAUUCUGGACAACUACAACUGAUUGACAAUAUAUCUAUUUCAUUACCUUUUCCUGGCCUUAAAAAAAAAUCAACUUAGAUCUGAAACAUGACAAAAUCAGGUUUUGGAGCAAUUUAGUUUGAGGAAACGUUGAGUGACAACGCUUAAAUUUGUAUCUUUUGUUACACCAUUAGCCCAGUAGUGCUAUUUUCUCUGUAGGGGGAAAAACAAAUUACUUAAAACUACGGAGCUGCGACAAACAUUACCUUGAGUUAGCAAAGAAAUAUUUAUUUGAGACUCUGAAAUGGCUGCUACCGUUCAAAAAGAAAUCUGCAAACAUACUGAUUUGAGUAAUGCAUUUGAACA